CAAGACUGGAGAAGUGAAGUCUGCCACCUGGAAUCUGCACGGACCCCCGGGGAGGGGAGAAGCAAUACGGAGGUGUUGUGGUCUUGCCUCGCUAGCAGGGUCCUCCCRAGCAGACAAACAGACAGUCCUGUGAUUGCGAAACUUGCUAAAAGUCAGCAAAAGCAGUGUUUGCCCAGAGCCCCAGCCGUAUGGAAAGAGACUUGGGAGCUAGGAGAGUUUGAGCAGGGACGGGAACGUGACCUGAYCAUCCUCUCCGGCUGGACCAAAGGAAAAGAAGAAGGGGAAGAGCAAAGCAGGAACACUUAUGCAUCAGACUGACUUAACUGGAGGAAGAGUCAAGUCCAAAGCCCAGUGUCAGGAGUUAUAUCCUAUGGCUAAUGUUUUCUGCUGGAGUUUUGCAUGAAUCUGGCAGAGCUGCAAACCAUCUUGGCAACAGGAGCAUCACAGCUGCUGCUACUGGGGAAGCUUUUCAGAAGUGAAAACAGGAUGGUUGCAAAAGCACUGCCUCUUUCUCCCACUUAGAAGUAAAAAUUAAAAUAGUGGAAGUCCUGAUUCCGCUGUGUUUGGGCAGAGGAUGAGGGAACCCUAAAACUUGCUGGUGUCUAAUGUUGCGCCUUGCCUGAACAAGGCACAGCCCAUCACUUCUUGCUGGCUGAUGCACAGGGUGGUGAGGUGUUCAGUUUGGCAGCAUUUCUCCAUCUUUAGUUUGCAGCCAGAAAAAAGUGCGUGAAGCCCAGGAGAGAGGUGAGGCAGUCAGAGCAGCAAGAGGAAUUGGUACCUUGAGCAGCAGGAUCUGGGGCGGGUUGGAGAGGCCACUCAGGUGGUGUUUGUGAGGGCCUGAAGCGCUGGGGUGCAGAGGACGGGGCUAACAAGCACUGUGCUAUCAAUGGGGGCUAUACCAGGGCCUGUGUUUGGGUAGUCUUGUAAUUAUGAGCUCAAAGGUGCUAUAAAAUGAAGGUGAGAGGCAGCAAUGUCUGUUGUACACCAUUUAUUUUUCAUAUGGAGUUUGGCUGAUAAACAGGACUGAAUUAAAGCAAAACUCAUGAAAAAUAAAACCCAACCAUGACUCA
rnacentral:lncRNA from 1 species